UUGGCACCAAUCAAGACCGUCAGCUUGCAGUAGCUGCUGGUUUCAAAGGGAGCCUACAUGAACUCCUUCCCAUGGUCUGUUGAUUUUUCCCAGAGUUGUAAAGGGGUUAAUCAAUUCAGUUGGAAGGGACAAAA
ensembl:snoRNA small nucleolar RNA SNORA2/SNORA34 family